AGAAUCAACGCUGGCGGCGUGCCUAACACAUGCAAGUCGAACGAGAAGGGGGAGCAAUCCCUGAGUAAAGUGGCGACCGGGUGAGUAACACGUGACUAACCUACCCUCGAGUGUGGAAUAACAUCGGGAAACCGAUGCUAAUACCGCAUAAUAUCGCAAGAUCAAAGGAGCAAUCCGCUUGAGGAGGGGGUCGCGGCUGAUUAGCUAGUUGGCGGGGUAACGGCCCACAAAGGCGAAGAUCGGUAUCCGGCCUGAGAGGGCGCACGGACACACUGGAACUGAAACACGGUCCAGACUCCUACGGGAGGCAGCAGUGGGGAAUUUUGCGCAAUGGGGGAAACCCUGACGCAGCAACGCCGCGUGGAGGAUGAAGCCCCUUGGGGCGUAAACUCCUUUCGACCAAGACGAUAAUGACGGUACUGGUGGAAGAAGCACCGGCUAACUCUGUGCCAGCAGCCGC
rnacentral:rRNA from 1 species